rnacentral:hammerhead_ribozyme from 1 species
AUCUAGCUGACGAGUCCCAAACAGGAGGUAACGCACGCCCUGAAU